rnacentral:rRNA from 1 species
CACGUAGGGUGCAAGCGUUGUCCGGAAUUAUUGGGCGUAAAGAGCUCGUAGGCGGUCUGUCGCGUCGGAUGUGAAAAUCCAGGGCUUAACCCUGGACCUGCAUUCGAUACGGGCAGACUAGAGUUCGGUAGGGGAGACUGGAAUUCCUGGUGUAGCGGUGAAAUGCGCAGAUAUCAGGAGGAACACCGGUGGCGAAGGCGGGUCUCUGGGCCGAUACUGACGCUGAGGAGCGAAAGCGUGGGGAGCGAACAGG